rnacentral:rRNA from 1 species
GAUGAACGCUGGCGGCGUGCCUAAUACAUGCAAGUCGAGCGAACAGACGAGGAGCUUGCUCCUCUGACGUUAGCGGCGGACGGGUGAGUAACACGUGGAUAACCUACCUAUAAGACUGGGAUAACUUCGGGAAACCGGAGCUAAUACCGGAUAAUAUAUUGAACCGCAUGGUUCAAUAGUGAAAGACGGUUUUGCUGUCACUUAUAGAUGGAUCCGCGCCGCAUUAGCUAGUUGGUAAGGUAACGGCUUACCAAGGCGACGAUGCGUAGCCGACCUGAGAGGGUGAUCGGCCACACUGGAACUGAGACGCGGACCAGACUCCUACGGGAGGCAGCAGUAGGGAAUCUUCCGCAAUAGGCGAGAGCUUGACGGAGCAACGCCGCGUGGGUGAUGAAGGUCUUCGGAUCGUAAGACGUUGUUAUUAGGGAAGAACAAAUGUGUAAGUAACUAUGCACGUCUUGACGGUACCUAAUCAGAAAGCAACGGCUAACUACGUG